rnacentral:rRNA from 1 species
AUUGAACGCUGGCGGCAUGCUUUACACAUGCAAGUCGAACGGCAGCGCGGGCUUCGGCCUGGCGGCGAGUGGCGAACGGGUGAGUAAUAUAUCGGAACGUACCCAAGAGUGGGGAUAACGUAGCGAAAGUUACGCUAAUACCGCAUACGAUCUAAGGAUGAAAGCAGGGGAUCGCAAGACCUUGUGCUCCUGGAGCGGCCGAUAUCUGAUUAGCUAGUUGGUGAGGUAAAGGCUCACCAAGGCAACGAUCAGUAGCUGGUCUGAGAGGACGACCAGCCACACUGGAACUGAGACACGGUCCAGACUCCUACGGGAGGCAGCAGUGGGGAAUUUUGGACAAUGGGGGCAACCCUGAUCCAGCAAUGCCGCGUGAGUGAAGAAGGCCUUCGGGUUGGUAAAGGACUCUUUUGUCAGGAAGAAAAGGCUAGUGGCUAAUAUCCACAGCUGCUGACGGUACC